rnacentral:rRNA from 1 species
ACAUGCAAGUCGAACGAAGCAACUAUACGAUCCUUCGGGUGACGAUCUGUGACUGAGUGGCGGACGGGUGAGUAACGCGUGGGUAACCUACCUUGUACAGGGGGACAACAGUUGGAAACGACUGCUAAUACCGCAUAAGCGCACAGUAUCGCAUGGUACAGUGUGAAAAGUUUUUUCGGUACAAGAUGGACCCGCGUCUGAUUAGCUAGGUUGGUGAGGUAACGGCUCACCAAGGCGACGAUCAGUAGCCGACCUGAGAGGGUGACCGGCCACAUUGGGACUGAGACACGGCCCAAACUCCUACGGGAGGCAGCAGUGGGGAAUAUUGCACAAUGGGCGAAAGCCUGAUGCAGCCGACGCCGCGUGAGCGAAGAAGUAUUUCGGUAUGUAAAGCUCUAUCAGCAGGGAAGAUAAUGACGGUACCUGACUAAGAAGCACCGGCUAAAUACGUGCCAGCCGCCGC